rnacentral:rRNA from 1 species
GAUGAACGCUGGCGGCGUGCCUAAUACAUGCAAGUCGAGCGAACAGACGAGGAGCUUGCUCCUCUGACGUUAGCGGCGGACGGGUGAGUAACACGUGUAUAACCUACCUAUAAGACUGGGAUAACUUCGGGAAACCGGAGCUAAUACCGGAUAAUAUAUUGAACCGCAUGGUUCAAUAGUGAAAGACGGUUUUGCUGUCACUUAUAGAUGGAUCCGCGCCGCAUUAGCUAGUUGGUAAGGUAACGGCUUACCAAGGCAACGAUGCGUAGCCGACCUGAGAGGGUGGUAGGCCACACUGGAACUGGGACACGGUCCAGACUCCUAAGGGAGGCAGCAGUAGGGAAUCUUCCGCAAUGGGCGAAAGCCUGACGGAGCAACGCCGCGUGAGUGAUGAAGGUCUUCGGAUCGUAAAACUCUGUUAUUAGGGAAGAACAAAUGUGUAAGUAACUAUGCACGUCUUGACGGUACCUAAUCAGAAAGCAACGGCUAACUACGUG